rnacentral:rRNA from 1 species
UACGGAUGGUGCGAGCGUUAAUCGGAAUUACUGGGCGUAAAGCGCGCGUAGGCGGCUAAGUCAGUCAGAAGUGAAAGCCCCGGGCUCAACCUGGGAAUUGCUUUUGAUACUGCUUGGCUAGAGUUUGGUAGAGGAUAGUGGAAUUCCAGGUGUAGCGGUGAAAUGCGUAGAUAUCUGGAGGAACAUCAGUGGCGAAGGCGACUGUCUGGACCAAAACUGACGCUGAGGUGCGAAAGCGUGGGUAGCAAACAGGAUUAGAUACCCUGGUAGUCCACGCCGUAAACGAUGUCAACUAGCCGUCGGGUCUAUUUACAGACUUGGUGGCGCAGCUAACGCGAUAAGUUGACCGCCUGGGGAGUACGGCCGCAAGGUUAGAACUCAAAGGAAUUGACGGGGACCCGCACAAGCGGUGGAUGAUGUGGAUUAAUUCGAUGCAACGCGAAAAACCUUACCUACCCUUGACAUGUGAGGAACUUGUGAGAGAUCACUUGGUGCCCGAAAGGGAACCUCAACACAGGUGCUGCAUGGCUGUCGUCAGCUCGUGUCGUGAGAUGUUGGGUUAAGUCCCGCAACGAGCGCAACCCUUGUCAUUAGUUGCUACAUUUAGUUGAGCACUCUAAUGAGACUGCCGGUGACAAACCGGAGGAAGGUGGGGAUGACGUCAAGUCCUCAUGGCCCUUAUGGGUAGGGCUUCACACGUCAUACAAUGGCACGUACAGAGGGUUGCCAACCCGCGAGGGGGAGCCAAUCCCAGAAGGCGUGUCGUAGUCCGGAUUGUUCUCUGCAACUCGAGAACAUGAAGUCGGAAUCGCUAGUAAUCGCGGAUCAGAAUGCCGCGGUGAAUACGUUCCCGGGUCU